GCCUUCAUGGUGUAAUGGUAGCACACUCGGCUCGUAUGCGAAAGGUCCAGGUUCGAGUCUCGGUGGCGGCA
rnacentral:tRNA from 1 species